GACGAACGCUGGCGGCGUGCUUAACACAUGCAAGUCGAACGGAAAGGCCCUGCUUGCAGGGUGCUCGAGUGGCGAACGGGUGAGUAACACGUGGGUGAUCUGCCCCUUACUUUGGGAUAAGCCUGGGAAACUGGGUCUAAUACUAGAUAGGACCAUGCUGUAGGUGGUGUGGUGGAAAGAUUAGUUUCGGUAAGGGAUGAGCUCGCGGCCUAUCAGCUUGUUGGUGGGGUAAUGGCCUACCAAGGCGUCGACGGGUAGCCGGCCUGAGAGGGUGGACGGCCACAUUGGGACUGAGAUACGGCCCAGACUCCUACGGGAGGCAGCAGUGGGGAAUAUUGCACAAUGGGCGCAAGCCUGAUGCAGCGACGCCGCGUGGGGGAUGACGGCCUUCGGGUUGUAAACUCCUUUCAGCCAUGACGAAGCCCUUGUGGUGACGGUAGUGGUAGAAGAAGCACCGGCUAACUACGUG
rnacentral:rRNA from 1 species